CUGGAUGGCUCAGUUUUGGGAUUAUGUCAACGCCUUCAGCAGAUGCUAUUGCCUUACAUAAAGAGAUAUGCCAUGCUGGAGAGCUUCCACUCACUCUGAAUGUGUGCAUUUUGGCCACAAGCAACAACUGCACAUCCAGUCCUAUCACUGACAUGGCAACCAAGAAUUCUGGGAGCCUUCCCAAAGCUGUUUUGCAUCACUCAUCAAAAGGUCUGCCAUCCCAGCGGAGGCACAUUGUGUGACGGCAGAGAGGAACAGGGUGGAGCAGCUAUUUUUACCUGAAGCCCAGGAGUGAGCUCAACACAGAAGAGGUACCCUUGUGAUGGACUGGCGACCGAUCCAGAUGUCAUCUUGCUCCGGUUCGAGUUGUGGUAGCCUCCUACCUCCACUGCAGUCAACUACAGGAUAAAGCAGUCCUGCCUAGGCUGAGCUGGCCUCAGCUUACCUGUCUCCUGGAAUGCACGCCACCGCCUUGGGCCAGCCGGAUCAUCUCGCUAUCCUCUGCACCUGCCUACACCGGUUACUGACGUCAAUCCAGCUGCAACGCCACAUUUGCCCCGCCACACUCCGUCCAUAUUGCCUUAGCUCCUCUCCCUGCCCAGUUGCCAGGCCAGUCUUCAUCACAGCCCCUCUCACAGCCCACUCAUCCAUAGGCCCCAUCCAUCACCAUCACACAGAAAGAAGAGAGAUGAGGGAGGGGAGACGCUGAGCGAAGACGAGAGAAGAAGAAAAAGAGAUGCACAUAAAGGCGAAAAGUCACAUGUUGGCAUCAGAUGGAAAGACAGAGUGGAGAUCUUCACAGAGGGGAAAGAAAGAAUAUAGGAGGAGGAUAAAGAGUGGAUGUACAUUUGGCAAGACAUAACUCAAAAUUCCGAGAAUACUGAUUAGAAUCAUGAUGUAUUAAACUAGUCAUCUCGGCGUGUUGCAUCAGAUUCAAAGACUAUAAAACCGAGAAAUGGUUUAAGGUCAUAAAAAUCACUUCCAGAUAUUGAAGAUUUUGACUUCUCUGUCUCGCUUUGUCUCCUUGUUUGUGCUCAAGGCUGUGACCUUUUGACAGGACGCUCUCUCUUUUGUCGAACACGCCACAGGCAAAGACUGGCAAAAAAAAACCCAGCCCCAACACAGAGAGUGAUAAAGAUGUGAUACACACCGGCAGACACUUUCUGCAAGACGUACGAUUAUUUUAAAGUACUUCUACCUUGAGAGACAAAAAUGCAACAAAGUCGGUCGAUGGACUAAAAAAAAAAAAAAAAAAAAAAAAAGGAUGUCUGGGGAAAAAAGAGCAAGUUGGUUGAAGGGGAAUCAAAGUCAGGCAACGGGUCCCAGUACCAUCCUCUAGCUAUGCCUGGAGGCCUAAAUGUCUAGCUGACAAUGUCUAUAUCAGUCAGUCAGAAAAAUAAUGGGCUUUAGAAAUCGACCCUUGUGCCUUGAAACCUCAAUCAGCAGAGAUGGACUUCAUAGAAUCUGACAAAAUUCAUCAGUAAUGGAGUCAGUGUUGAUUUUAUAUUAUUUUUUAAAAUAUGAGCAAAGUAUGUGCUGCAUGUUGUCGUGUUUUUUUUUUGUGGAACCAGAAUAUUUCAGGUUGAGUUAUGACUUAAAUCUUCAUGCCAUAAAAAUACAUCAAUAAUGCAAAGUUGUUUUGAUGAUAUGAUGAAUUACAGCGCAAUCAUUAUGAUUAUUAAAAACGCCAUAUGCCUUUUCGUCCGUGG
ensembl:lncRNA